ACUUAAGCAUAUCAAUAAGCGGAGGAAAAGAAACCAACAGGGAUUGCCUCAGUAACGGCGAGUGAAGCGGCAACAGCUCAAAUUUGAAAUCUGGCCCCCAGGGUCCGAGUUGUAAUUUGCAGAGGAUGCUUUUGGCGAGGUGCCUUCCGAGUUCCCUGGAACGGGACGCCAUAGAGGGUGAGAGCCCCGUCUGGUCGGACACCAAGCCUCUGUAAAGCUCCUUCGACGAGUCGAGUAGUUUGGGAAUGCUGCUCUAAAUGGGAGGUAUAUGUCUUCUAAAGCUAAAUACCGGCCAGAGACCGAUAGCGCACAAGUAGAGUGAUCGAAAGAUGAAAAGCACUUUGAAAAGAGAGUUAAAAAGCACGUGAAAUUGUUGAAAGGGAAGCGUUUAUGACCAGACUUGGCCCGGUUGAUCAUCCAGCGUUCUCGCUGGUGCACUCUGCCGGUCCAGGCCAGCAUCAGUUCGCCGCGGGGGAUAAAGGUUUCGGGAAUGUGGCUCCCCUCGGGGAGUGUUAUAGCCCGUUGCGUAAUACCCUGGGGCGGACUGAGGUCCGCGCUUCUGCAAGGAUGCUGGCGUAAUGGUCAUCAACGACCCGUCUUGAAACACGGACCAAGGAGUCGUCUUCGUAUGCGAGUGUUCGGGUGUAAAACCCCUACGCGUAAUGAAAGUGAACGCAGGUGAGAGCUUCGGCGCAUCAUCGACCGAUCCUGAUGUUCUCGGAUGGAUUUGAGUAAGAGCAUACGGGGCCGGACCCGAAAGAAGGUGAACUAUGCCUGUGUAGGGUGAAGCCAGAGGAAACUCUGGUGGAGGCUCGCAGCGGUUCUGACGUGCAAAUCGAUCGUCAAAUAUGGGCAUGGGGGCGAAAGACUAAUCGAACCUUCUAGUAGCUGGUUUCCGC
rnacentral:rRNA from 1 species